GUACUUGAUUUGGCAGCACAUAUAUUAAAAUUGGAACAAUACAGAGAAGAGUAGCAUGGCCCCUAUGCAAGAAUGACACAAAAAUCCAUGAAGUGUUCCAUAUUUAA